AGUGAACGCUGGCGGUAGGCCUAACACAUGCAAGUCGAACGGCAGCACAGUAAGAGCUUGCUCUUACGGGUGGCGAGUGGCGGACGGGUGAGGAGUACAUCGGAAUCUACUUUUUCGUGGGGGAUAACGUAGGGAAACUUACGCUAAUACCGCAUACGACCUACGGGUGAAAGCAGGGGAUCUUCGGACCUUGCGCGAUUGAAUGAGCCGAUGUCGGAUUAGCUAGUUGGCGGGGUAAAGGCCCACCAAGGCGACGAUCCGUAGCUGGUCUGAGAGGAUGAUCAGCCACACUGGAACUGAGACACGCUCCAGACUCCUACGGGAGGCAGCAGUGGGGAAUAUUGGACAAUGGGCGCAAGCCUGAUCCAGCCAUACCGCGUGGGUGAAGAAGGCCUUCGGGUUGUAAAGCCCUUUUGUUGGGAAAGAAAAGCAGCAGGUUAAUACCCCGCUGUUCUGACGGUACCCAAAGAAUAAGCACCGGCUAACUUCGUG
rnacentral:rRNA from 1 species